ACACCUUUACCAUUGCCAUUGCCAUCAUUGCCACCACUCAGCAUUGCCACUACCAUUACUGCCACUACUCACCAUUGUCAUUGCCAACACCCCCACUACUAUGACCAUUUUUUUUAAUUACAUACAAUUAUAUCAUUUUUGCACUAAUUUACUACAUGUUUUUACAAAGAUUUUCAUACUUACAACACUUUUGGAAUACAGUUUAUCAAACGCUCAACUAAUUUAUUUUACAGCUGAUUAUUCUUAAAGCACAAUAGAAGCUGUUUUUUUCUUUUAUAAUUUUUUUAAAGCAUAUCAAUCCUAAGUCGCCCCUAAGACAUAAAACUUUUGUAAGUGUUGGGUUUACACAUGCCCGUCUCAUUUUGUCACUCUUUUUAUUAGUGUAAAAUGUUCAUGAUAAAUCCUAAGGUUUAAAUUUAUUUUUCAAAUUGGUCUUUAUGUUUCAGUUUUUCAACGUUGCACUCUAAGGUUUUGUAAUUGUAUCAGUUUGCAUGUGUGAAGCUUAAAAUAAUCUUAGAAAUUCUAGAGACAACAUGUGGACUUUUGCCCAAGAAAGACAAGAUUGCCCUCAUUAAAUGGGUAGGCUCCUCAGAUAUUCUCACACACACCUCACACCCUGAAGGUCACUAGCAGCUGAAUACGACUGCCCAUAACUCACAUGCUAUUGGCAAGGAAAAGUCAAAGCAUUAAAAAUAAGGAUUAAUUACCCAAAUCCUAUCUUUAAUACAUUCCCAAUUGAAAAUUGACUUCAUUCAAGUAAGUAAUCCCAAUUUAAAUCAAUUAGGGAUAAUUACUCCAUUAUCUCAAAUUAUUAUUUCCUAUUUAAUAUCUUGAGAAUAUUUCUCCAUA
rnacentral:lncRNA from 1 species